AAAAAGGGGAGAGGCUGCCAAGAGAUGUGCUUGAGCAGGAAGAGACUGCCCUGCCAACAGCCAGCCUUGGCUAUCACUCUCUCAAGAGGAAUAUGACAAACCUGAAGAUACCUGAGGAGGUAGCUACUGCUGUACAAGGGUAAAGAAGUGUGUGUUCCCAUGGAUGAUUCAAGCCUGUCCAGCAGUAUUGAUGUAGACAAAGGCUUUGCCAUCGCCUUUGUUGUUCUUCUGUUUCUGUUCCUAAUCGUGAUGAUUUUUCGGUGUGCCAAGUUGGUGAAGAACCCCUAUGAGGCCAGCUCCACAACAGCAGAACCGUCGCUGAGCUGAACUAUGAAAAAGCCUGACAGACUCCUCCUCAGGGGAGAUAUUAAAUCUUCUAUACAGACAGACGAGAAGAUACAGAGAGACAGAGGAAAAGGCCCUGUGAAGACAGAGGCAGAGAUUGGAGUCAUGCAGCCACAAACUAAAGAACACUUGGCUGGAACCAACAGAAGCUGGAAGAGGCAAGGGAAGAUUCUCAUCAGAGCCUUUGGAGGGAGCACAGCCCUGCCAACACCUUGAUUUUGGAUUGCUAGCCUCUAGAACUGUAAGAGAAUAAAUUCCUGUUGUUUUAAGCCAACGGGUCUAUGGUAAUUGGUUAUGGCAAUCACAGGAAACUCAUAUGUAAUACACAACGAUGAUGGUGGUAGUUAUCAUGAUCAGUCCAAGAAUCUUUUAAAAGAAAACAGAAAA